GUCACGCGGCAUUCAUAGAUGCACUCUCUUUUUACAGGACUAAAACCAAAUCAACGGUUCAUAGGUCCACUUGGAGUCACAUGUUUGUAACACCGACAACCAACGCCAGCUACAAACAACUAUACUAAUAAUUACACCGCCACUGUUUUUAAUUUUAUCCUCUGCUUUACAUCUUUCUCUACACACCAUCAUCCUCUCUUA
rnacentral:lncRNA from 1 species